GUCGUUGUUUACAGAUGUAAACAUGGCCAGAAGAAAAACCAGAAUAACUCCUGCAGAUAAGCGGGCUAUAGCAAGAUUACGAAGAAGAAAAAGAAACAACGAUCAGUGAAAUUGUAAUUCCCGUUACUCCAUUCCACCAGGAAAGUACGAGUAUACCUCCUAUUGUUGAGUCUGUCGAACCAAAAACCAAGAAGCACAAACAACGUGGUACUAAAGUUCUGCCAGCUCGUCUCACAGAUAGACAUUUCCCUUCAAGAAUUCCAGCUACGGGGCAGAAACGCAUGCCUUGCAGAAGAUGCCAUGUCUGCAGUACUACUAAGAAGUUCAAUAAGACGAGAAGGGAAACUAGAUACUGGUGUGACCAGUGCAACGUUGCUUUGUGUGUGGAACCUUGCUUUGAGAUGUUUCACACUUGGGCUAAAUAUUGAGACGAGGAGGCUUCAUCUUCGUUACACCAACAAGUGUGGAGUUUAACCAGAGAUUAUUAAUGCAAAGACAACGAAACACAGAAAAGGUGCGAAGAUACAGAGAAGCUAGAAGAGCAGAUCCCGAGAAGUACCAGGAAUAUCUCAGAAAGCGUUCGAUUCGAGAAAGAGAGAAUAGAAGAAGAGCUAAACUGGCCGCGUUGAAGCUCUGCAGGUUGCAGCAACUCUGAGCCCAUGACUAAAUUGGAAUAAUGAGACAAUCUGGGAUUAAUCAAUGAAAUGGUAUAAGGGUAGCCAGGGCAUGGGGCAAAUGCAACGACUCCGAAAAUUUAAGAAGUGAAGAAACUGCUAUAGCUAACUCACUUGUUUAAUUUUUUAACAAGCAGAAACGUCUGCGAACGAUGCUAUU